AAUUACAUUUUCACUUCGUUUUUAUUAUUCGAUCGAAGAGUCAUGUAAGAGGUUCGGAAAAGGCGUUCACACGCAUUAUACACACAACAAAAAUAUAAAAAAAAAAUUAAAGAAAAUCCAAAAAAAAGCAAAUUUGAAUUCAAAAAUUCAGUGUGAUUUUAUUGUUGUUCGGUACCUCCAAAUACAACAGAAUUGAGGUUGAGAAACAAUUUCUAUGCACCAAAUCAGAAGAAAAUAAUAGACCCAACAUUUCCGAAGUGUAUGUGUGUGUGUAAUAAUACCAACAAAAAGCAAACGCAAAGCAAGAAAAAAAUACAAAUUUACACAUCUUUUCGUGUCGAGUGCGGGAUAAACACUUUGUAACAAUUUUUUAAGAAAAUUCCCUCAAGUUUCGUAAAUUUUUUGUGAUAUUCGAAAAAUUUCCCUCUACGUAACGUCGAAGGUGAUUUCUUUAAUUUUUUCUUAAUUCGACACGACACAACAGCAACAACAAGCGCUAUAGUCAUCUUACUUUGCUCUGCUCUGAGAAUUUGUUACAAAUUUACAAGAGAGAAAGAGAUAGCAAGUGUUUGUUUCGAUAAACGACGAUAUAUAGCGAACUUGGCAAAAGAAAUUAAAAAAUUAAGAAAAAAAAAAAUUGAUUAAAAACUUCAAACCACCACCAAACUAAAAACAACGACUGGGAAGCUAAAUGGUUUACAAAGUUCCAAGACCACAAAUAAAUACACAUUAGUAGAGAGCAACGGCAUCAAGUACCAUCAGGAAGCAGAAGAAGAUAGAUAAGAUUUAAAGAAGAAGAAUAAAUCUAUGACGUUAAGCCAUAAAGAGGUUAACGAGACGCUAACAUCUAACAAAACCCUUCCCUCCUUAAAGCCAGCAAAAGUGAAGGAAAAGAGAUAGAAGCGAUCCGAAUUCCGGUCGGAAGGAGACGAAGUCUGAAAAAGAAGAAGCGUUGACUCUGCAAACAUAUUGAAUAAGAAGGAAAUUCAAAAAGAUAAAUCAACAGACUGAUUAAUUAAUUUUAAACGUAAAGAGUAUAAUAAAAUAAUAAUUUAUACUACCUACAUAUAAUACAAUACACAAACAAACAAACAUAUAUAAAUAAUAAUAAUAAUAAUAUAUAAAGAAGAAUUUAUAUAUAAAUAAUAUUGUAAAUAUUGUGUAAGGAGAUAGAGCGAGAGAGCGUGAGGAACGAAGAAGGGAGGUAGAGGGCGCAGCAAAAGGCUCUAGAGACGACGACGAGACGAAGAAGAAGAAGACGUAGAAGAAGUACAAGGGCAGCAGAAAAAGCAACAGCAGCUGAGACAGCCGUUAAAAAGUGCUGGAUACCGAUCGACAACAACAGCUGUCAGUGCAGAAAUUUUGACUCGAAGAGACGUUAAAGAAUGCCCAUUUAUAUUUUAAAUAAGCGUUGAUUUUAUUGUGUGUGAUAUUUAAACCUUAAGCAUUAAUUUAACAAACAAAACAAAACCUAAGCAUAAACAACAAACAAAAUCAAGAAAUUACUCAAGAAAUAGUAGCAACUGCAGCCAACCAACCAAGCAACAUACAUACAGAUUGCGAUUGGAAGAGAAAAAAAAGAAAAGGAAAACAACAAUAACCAACCGAAUCAAGUAGCAGCAGCAUCAUCAUCAUCAACAGUAUAAUUGAGUCCAAGCGACCAGAGGAAAUUACAACUACAACAAUUGUACUAUGACAUACUCGCACAAUAGCGUUAGUAAGAAUCUGAAAAUGACAACAGCAGCAGCAGCAACCGCAGCGGCGACGAUACAGCAACAGCGCUCGAAAAAAGUGCCGCAUGGUGGAGGAGGCAGUAAUAUUUCACCACCAUCAACACCACCCCUAAGUGCACAUUCCAACAGUAUUGCUAGCAGUACAAACUACUACAACCAUCCCCAUUACCAGCACCAGCAGCAGCAAUAUCACCAGCUCAGCUGUUCGCCUCCAGGAUGCCCCAUGUCAUCGGCCAUUUCGACCAGCUCCAAUUGCAGCAGCAGUUCCGGUGUAUCUUCGUUGGGUUCCUCCUCGGGUAAUGGCAGUGGCAGUUAUUUUGCUUCUGCGCGCAAACAGCAGCAGCGUAACUGGCAGCAGCAACAGCAACAGAGGCGCUCGCCUCAGCAUAACAACAGCAGUAAUGCCAACAACGAUGGUAAUAGCUUUUUCAACAACAACAACAGCGGCAGUAAACGCUAUAGCGGUGGCGGCGGCAGCGGCCAAAAACACCGUGAUGGUCAACGUUCGCCUCAGGGAGGACAAGUUACACGUCAGUCCCCAGCCGCGAUUUUGGGUGGCGGCGCUAGUUCCUCUUCGCCCAUUUCCAUAGGCAGUAACCCCAACUCGGCCCGCAAAUCGCGUUCGAAGCACUCGAGUCCAUUGUUGUGUGUCGGUGGCAAGAUCUCACCCACUCAUCCACUCAUACCCACCGCCUUGACGCACUUCGCUGGCAGCAAGUGCUUCGAUGCUCCGGCCCCCACGGCGUUGCCUAAACCCCCCGAGCACUGGACAUUGAGCAAAAGCGAAGACAAGGUCGACAGCAGUGCUGGUCCCGGCCUCCAAAGUGUGCUGAGCGCGGCGGUUCGCUCACACAACCAUCACCAUCACAACAGCAGCCACCACCAUCUCCAUCACUCCAAUGCAACCCAUGCCGUCGAUGCGCACACCUAUGGCGGCCACGUUGUCAAAUCGUCGAAGCGCAAUCUUCUCGACGACUUUGAUACGCACAAUUUGAAAUUGUUGCUCAACGUGCAAUCAUAACCGCCCACCUGCGGCCACGAUCCCCAUCAUCAUCAUCAUCAUCACACAAAUCUUUUGCCAAUAAAACCCAACCAACAACUACAGCCCACAACCAAUAGCCAGCCAGAAUAGAAGACGAAAGAAAAAUCCAAAAAAAAAAAUAAAUAAAUAAAUAAUUAAAAUUUCAUAAAACAAACUCUCCCCCUCAUGUCGUGAACAACAAAAACAGUUUGUGAUCUCAAGAAUAUUACAAAGUCACACUUUAAAACAAAACAAUAUCAAGAACUAAAUUAUUGAAUAACAAACAAUCCCAAACAGAUAAUGAACAAAACAACAAACAAAAGUACAGACAGAACGGACAUCCAACUUUCGUUUUACGCUAAGUCAAAACACAAAACAAAAAUACAAUUGCCAACAAUGCAAAAUUCUCAAUACAAAUAAUAACAAAACAACCGCAACAACACUGAAUGACAACCAACUAAAAAACUGUGAACAAUUUAAUAAUUUUAUUUAAAAUAAAUACCACAACCACAACUAAAGAAAAAAACUUUAAAAUCUACACAAGUGGUGCACCAUGUGCACAAUGUGAUUUCGGAUAAUAAAUUAUAAAUAGAAACUAGAAAGCAAAAGGCCUUGUGUUUGUUUAAAAAACAAACAAACAAGUGACUGAAACACAAAGCAUCGGCUCUAAAAAACAACAAUGCGCAGGCUAAACAUCAGGAUUUGUCGUGUUUCUUUUUGUUUAAAAUAAUGAAAAACAUGCCCAUUGAAUAAUCAUUACCUAUAGACAUUUAAAUUAGCCCACCAAAGCUCCACAAAAAGAAAAACCAGCAACAAACUAAUGAACUUAUAUAACAACAACAACAAUAAUAAUAAUAUUUCCAAGUAACAAAACAGUAAAGACUUGAGCCUGAAGUGUGUAAAUUAUUUGGACAUACCUGUUUGUUAGCUUGUUUCGCUACAACUACCACUGUGAUGUUGGCGCAGGACGACGGGGUCAAGGUGUCUGAACGGACCAACAAGCAAAAGCAACCGAAACGUUGCCUACAAAUGGCCAAUCAGCACUACAUUGUCGCAAAUCAAUGCAGUCGGAAUGCCGUCCUCGUAGUUCGGUAAUCUCAAUUCGCAUUGGCCGUGAAUCAAUGCAAUGCAAAUUGCCCUGCCAAACCUACCCAACUUACUCCCAAAGAUUCCUGGCUACAGCUCAUCGAAGUAGCGGAACUUUUAAAUUUGGAGUUAGAGCCGGAACCGCGCAUUAGCAGAACAAAACCUUACAACAACAUCAGCAGCAGCAGCAGUCAUUUAUUGUAUUAGCAGAUUAGUUUUCAUCCAGUUAAACACCACAUGAGGAGAAUGCUUGCUACUCUUACUCUUAUGUAUGUAAUGCAUGUAUGUAUGUAUGUAUCUUACAGAACAAACUCUUCCAAACAUUUGUUUUUAUUUUUGGAAAUCAUAAUUUUAUUUAUUUGUAUGUAUUCACGUGAAGUGGAAAACAAAAUACUUUCGUUGUAGCUUUGGGAAUGAAUGAAUGGAUGGAUGAACGGCACUUGCGACUUUAGGUGUCCGGUGUAUGGUUACCUCGGGGACGCAGUGUCGUCUGUGUACAACAUUCCUCAUACCAAGAACUACAACUUUGUUUUGCAAUAUUAAGAAAAUUGUAGGGAAAUUCGGUCUACAAUCAGUCAUAUCAUGUAUUUAUUUAUAUAGUAUACUACUUUUUUAUACAAGUCUCCACAACUCACCUCCCAACUCCCCUCCCACCCAGCCACCAACCCUUUCCCCUCUCCCCUUGAAAGUCUCCUUUUUUAUUUUAUAAUAUAUAUAUAUAUAUCUAUUGUCUUUUUUUUUGUAAAUUUAAACUACCAAAAACAGCGUGUACAACAAUUACCUCUAUUUGCAAUGGAGAACGUUUUUUGAUUUCUUUUUCCAGUUUGUGUUCGAUUUUAGUGUAUAAUAAAAACGUGUAAUUGCAAGAGUGAGUCUCUAUUGCAGAGAUGGGGCAUUUGUUAAGUGAUCACUUUUUUAAGGUAAAGGGCAAGGGGGUGGUCGUUUUAAAAACGAUCUCCCUUUUGCCUUGUGUAAUUAGAGAUAUAAUGUAAUUUUGUAUAUUUAUAUAUAUAUUCUCUCUUUUACUAUUUUCUCCACUUAUUUCUUUUGUUUUUCUUCGAAUAAGACGCAACCUUGAAACAAUAAUCAAUUCAACAUUGAGAAUUCCUAUUGUCUUAAGAUUGCCACACUUUGUGGCAACCUCAAUAAGAUUAUGUCCGAAUAGUUGACUAAAUGAAAGGAAACACGAAGAAGAAGAAGAAGAGCAACUAAAAGUAUUUAUUUUAAUACUGUAACUAUAUACAUUUACAUUUAAAUUAUUUGUAUUUUGAUUGAAUGAUGUGGUAAUAUACGUAUAUACAUAACUUAUAUUUAAGAUUUUUAUCCCAAACCUCUCCUUUCCCUUACCCCAACAAACCCCCCUCCCCUCCCCCAAACAAUAAUGAAAACUUGCCCAUGUCCCACUGUGUUGUAUACUAUGUAACUCCCCCCCGCCCCACUAGACCUAUUAUCUAUCUGUAUCUGUAUGUAUAAAUAUUAUAAUGUUGAAUGACUUGUGUAAUUUCUUGAUUCUCGUAUAAACAAAAGAAGAAAACAAAAACAACAAAGAAAACCACAAAAACUUUAACCCAGUACCUUGUUUUUUGUUAGCAUUUAAUAUUAAUAUAAAUUAUUAAUUAAAAUCACGUAGAAACACACUGAAAGCAAAAUGUUUAUAUUACUAUCCUAAAAUACUACAACGAUAAGAUAUGUAUGUGAAAAGAAAACAAGAAAACAACAUGGAAAUCUGCACAAUAAUGAUGUCUAAGAGAAGAGAAGAAAGGAAGAAAUUUCCUUCUGCUGUUGCCAAACCAAAAAAUGUGAUUAUGUUAGAAGCCCAGAAAUGUAACCGAGGAGAAUGGGUGGUGGAAGUGUGACAUGUGUCCGGUUGCCAUAGUAUUAUUGUAAUUAUUGAGCAGUUUUAAUGCUAACACUUAUCUAGGGCGGCUUGACAUGUGUCUCAUCAAAUCGUCCAUUCAAGAAGAGACCCCCACCCAUCAAUCGAUUUAAAAACAAAAACACAAAAUGCGAGCCAAAAACAAAAUGCACUUCGUUUUGUACAAAUUAAAAAGAAAAACAAAAAAUCGAAAUUGUUUAGUUUCUUAAGUGUUGUUGGUUUUUAAUUGCCAUUUUUGUACAUUUUAAAGUUUUUUUUUUGUCUCCCCCUCCUCCCUUUUUUCAAACCCCUACCAACCGACCCCAAAGUCCCUAUUUUAAAUGAAAUUAUUAAAACGUGAUAUUUGUAUGCAAUCUUAAACUGUGAGGAGCAGUGCUCUAUCACAAAUUUUCAAAAAACAAAAAGAAAAACAAAGAAUUUUGCAUUUUUAUUUUAAGUUUCUCUUGUCGUCUACAAUACUAUAUAAAACUCUCCUAUUUUUUAACUUUAUAUGUUCAAAGAAAUCGUAUAUAUAAAUAUUUUAACUUUUAUUCCAAAAAACAAAAAAUAGAACAACACAGACUCCAAGCCUCCUCGUAGGAUCUUGUGUUGAAUAUUAAUAAUAAUUAUUAAAAAACAAAAAAAAAAAAAAAAAAAUAAAAAACAUAAAAACAAAUUAUUACUCUUAAACACCAAAAGUACAAAAUUCUAUAAAAGGAAAUCUUUUUCUUAAGAGAUAAAGUAAUAAAACACAAGAUCGUAUCUGCAGGCUUGCUGUGUUUUUAGUACGAUUCUGCUGCCCCAAUAUCCUUUUUUUUUUUUGUAAAUUUUGUUCGAAUGCAAUAUAUUUCUAAUACUAGUUCUUUCUUCCUCCUAUCCCAUUUAUAUUUCGGCAUCUUAAAGUAAAUUUUCAAAAUCCCUAAAGAACAGCUUUUAUUUUUCUUUUACUAUUUCUAUUUUUUUAAUAUUAUUUUAUAACGAAAUUGAAAUCAAGCUUUAACAAAGACUUAAAUACACACACACACAGAUAUAUGCUAUAAUUAUAAAUUAGUACUACAAAAGUGUAUGACCCAUUUUUCGUAAGGUUUUAAACAAGACCGGAAAACUUUAAGAAAAGAAACACAACACUGCUUACUUCUAUGAAACACAAAUUACCACCUCCCCGAAUCUAAAGUGUGCUUUAGGUCGUCGAAAAUUAUCUAUGCCAUUAAGAAGAGGUAAAUUUUCAAAAAAAAAAGAAAAA